AUGGCCUCCAGUUUGCUCAUAAUCAUACUCCCGGGUGCCACUAUAGCUCUUGGUGCUACUGCUUUUUGCUUCUACUCUUGGUGCCUAUCAAUCGGAAAGAAACUUGAGAAAGGCAAGGUCGAAGCUUCUAUUGAUCUGGAAGACCCGGUAAGCCAUCAGUUAAUCUCUCAUGUAGAUCUUGUCCGCGCCACAGAUAAUUUUAGUGAGGAUCACAUGUUGGGAUCUGGGGGCUUUGGAAAAGUUUUUAAAGGCCAACUGAGCAGCGGUUUGGUGGUUGCAAUAAAGGUUCUUGAUAUGCGGUCCAAGCACAGCGUCAAGAGCUUUGACGCAGAAUGUCGUGUGUUCCGCAUGGCGCGUCACCGCAACCUAAUACGGGUAAUUAACACAUGCUCUAACAUGGACUUCAUAGCACUAGUGUUGCAGUACAUGCCCAACGGCAGCUUAGACAUGCUACUUCACCACUCAGAAGAUGGGGGAAGACAAUUCGGGUUUCAUGAAAGGUUAGCCGCUCUGCUCGACGUAUCAAUGGCAAUGGAGUAUUUGCACCAUGGAUACCAUGAAGUGGUUUUGCAUUGCGACUUGAAGCCUAGCAAUGUAUUGUUUGAUGAGGACAUGACUGCACAUGUGGCAGACUUUGGCAUUGCAAGGUUACUACAAUGUGAGGAUAGCUCAACGAUCUCUUCAAACAUGCCGGGUACAAUUGGAUACAUGUCACCAGAGUAUGGAUCAUAUGGAAAAGCAUCACGACUGAGUGAUGUGUUUAGCUACGGAAUAAUGCUCCUUGAAGUUUUUACUGGAAGGAAGCCUACAGAUGCUAUGUUCGUCGGAGAAUUAAGCCUCAGGCGAUGGGUUUACCAGUCAUUUCCUGCAAAGCUGAGCCAUGUCGUUGAUGCCCGGCUACUGCAAGGCUCCUCUUCAAGUUGCAACUUGCAUGGCGACUUUCUUCUGCCGGUAUUGGAAGUUGGUUUGCUCUGCUCCAACGACUCACCUUGCGAUAGGAUAAAGAUGAGCGAUGUGGUCGUUAUGCUAAAAAGGAUUCAAAUGAAGUACACUGCAUGGACAACGGAGACAUCACAGAGUGCAACAUCAUGA
rnacentral:rRNA from 1 species